rnacentral:tRNA from 1 species
GUCUGGGUGAUGGAAAUGGUUAAACUGCUUGGCUGUUAACCAAAAGGUUGGAGGUUCAAGUCCACCCAAAGGCA